CCAUAUACAUUUCUCAUUGUUUUCAUUGUUUUGCAUUUGGUUUCCUCUGCUCCAUCAUCUCUUCUCCUGUAUUGCUCCUCAGCUUGGGUAUCGAAAUUUCAGGAAAACAGGUUUUACAGAAACUUGGCUGAUGCAGGUUCUCUAUAUCAAAAGGUUAACACCCAAGUUGUUCCAAAUUCAGUAUCACCAAUGUCAGAAAAGCUCCACUGUCUGCCAGUUUCCCAGUUUCCACCUUUUCGCUUCUUGCGCUUCCUAAUUUUAUCGUUGCACUUUCGUAAAUUUUUCCGUUUGGAUCGUUGUUUCUUGUGAGUUUUCUUUUUCUUAUCCUGUGUUUCUCUAUUUAAUCUUUGAUGGCAUGCUAGGGCUUUGCUACACAGAAAGUUUAAUGUGUCCAUCGGCUUUGUUCUUUAGGUGUUUGAGGCAAUUCUUGAAUGAAUUAGGCUUUUUUCAAGAUUUCUACUAUUGUUUUCGGUAUAACUUUUUGACUGUGGAAUAGUUGGGGGGAAACCUAUGAAGAAAUACUAACAACUGCCUUUGCUUUCAAUUAGACAGUACGAAUUGAACUAAACCAUCCAUGCCUUGUGUCUUUUUCUCAAAAAGAAGAGAAAUUUCAAUAUUAAGUUUGCGAUAAGCUCUUUAAUUGUUUGUUUUUCACACUUGGUCUUUGUGAGUGAGACUUAGAAACUUAAAGUAACAUCUGCAUGUAGAGUUACCACCUGAUUUUCGAUAAAAUUGUGAUAUAGAUAGAGCUAUUUAUUUUUUGUUCACAUUGAUAAGCUGCUGAAUGUACAAAAGUCCAUAACUGUUCUCAAAGUCUUGAAACUUAACGCUUGACGUAUCCGUCACAAGCGGAGCUGAAACGUUUUGUUUGACGAUUACAUUUAUUUUUUAGCAGGCUCAUAAAACACAUCAAUUCUUUUUUUGUUUUUCCAUUUUCCUCCUUUCCCUAUUUGGUUAGCCUGUGAGGGCUAAAUAGUUUGUAUUAGUGGUGAAGGAACGUGAAUAAUUGAAUUCGUCAAAUAAAUUUUUUAGAGCCAUUAUCAUUUCCUUGGUUAUAGAAGAGCGCAAAAAAAAUUGGAUUUUGAAUGUUAUUUCAUUUUUACUCUGUUUGUUUAGCUGUAUUGAUUCCUUAUAAUUUCAUUCCUCUAUUGGAGACACGUUUUAAUUUGUCUACCCAGCUUUGAACGGGAAAGAGCUAGCACGAUUCCAAAAGGAUAUCCUGAUUUGAGAACCAUAGAUUCAUUGGAAGUAUAUCUCUGAUUGGUCAUUUGGGCACAAAGGCACAACUAUUGAGGGGACUUUGGGGGUGAGCUUCAUCCCAUGAUAUGAUCCAUAGAACACGGAGUCUCCAUCAUGUUUAUUUAUGAUAUUCUGUCUAUUGUACAUUUCAGACAGAUGUUGUAUUAUGAUUGUACUUCAUAGUAGAUGUGCAUGCACUUGUGACACUAGGUUUUGAGAUAUUCUAGUUGAUGUUAAUGGUUUUGAAUUAAUAUUGUCAUUUUAUUUUAUUUUA